CCCCGGCCGGCCGCAUCACCACGCCUGCAGAUGCUGCUGUUUGCAGAAGCUCAGUCCGCUUUCCCCGGGCCACGGAUGCAGCCAAGGAUGGAGCUACCGCAUCAGCAGUCAGUCACAGGCCUGGCGGAGAGCGCAGGAGCCGGGCCCCUGCUCCACAACUGAGGUGUCCAUCGAGCGUCCAGUCAUGAACCCGGCCCAGCCGAGUCCCCGCGCGGAUGACAGAGUGCAGAGACCAAGGCGGCGGCGAGAAUGGCAUGCGGCAUGCGAACUCGAAGACGCACCCAGGGAUCCAUAACUAAAUGCCGAUGUACAACCGUUUGUUUCCUGUCUUCCUGUUAAAGCAGCACCUACCUUGAUCACCGUGACAAAUCCAUUGCAAUUCGGAAAUGCACUCGGGGCUGGGGACAUGGCUCAGCAGUUGAAGCUCUUGGUGCUCAAGCAGAAGAAUUAGAUCUCCCAAAGUCCACAAAAAUCCCAGG